GAUGAACGCUGGCGGCGUGCCUAAUACAUGCAAGUCGAGCGAACAGACGAGGAGUUUGCUCCUCUGACGUUAGCGGCGGACGGGUGAGUAACACGUGGAUAACCUAUCUAUAAGACUGGGAUAACUUCGGGAAACCGGAUCUAAUACCGGAUAAUAUAUUGAACCGCAUGGUUCAUUAGUGAAAGACGGUUUUGCUGUCACUUAUAGAUGGUUCCGCGCCGCAUUAGCUAGUUGGUAAGGUAACGGCUUACCAAGGCAACGAUGCGUAGCCGACCUGAGAGGGUGAUCGGCCACACUGGAACUGAGACACGGUCCAGACUCCUACGGGAGGCAGCAGUAGGGAAUCUUCCGCAAUGGGCGAAAGCCUGACGGAGCAACGCCGCGUGAGUGAUGAAGGUCUUCGGAUCGUAAAGCUCUGUUAGUAGGGAAGAACAAAUGUGUAAGUAACUAUGCACGUCUUGACGGUACCUAAUCAGAAAGCCACGGCUAACUACGUG
rnacentral:rRNA from 1 species